AUUUCAUUCAUAUCUUCUCAGUUCAUUAUACUUUCAAAAAUACGAUUUCUCAUUGUCUCAUUUCUUUCCUAACUCUGUCUCGGCGCGCUCUCCCUCUCUCUGUAUAUCUUUCUCAUAUUAUAACAAAAAUUUCUUUCACAUCUCAUCCAUAGCUUGCAAGUUGUAUACGUAUAACACAAUCAUACAUGUAUAGAGUCGCCUCUUCCCUCUCUCUUAGACUUUCAAUGAGAUGAAUUUUUUAUUAGAGUUUCGGAUUUCUGUGAAAUCGAACAAUUGAUGAGAAUGAUUGCUGAUUGCAGUGGUUGUUGAUUUUGAUUUCGCAGUUGCUUAGACGGAAGAGACAGAGAAGAGAACUCGAGAAAGAAAGAGAUGGACCAUACCUUAAAAUGAUUGAUCUGGAUAUUUUCGACAUCAAGUUUCUUGAAGUUACUGAGCUUUCGAGUCACAAAAAACUUUCCCCAGUUAUAUUCCUCGUAGUUGGCAGGGUUCUCAUCAUUUGUUAGUUCCACCACAGGCUUCACCCUAGUUGAAUGUGAGGGAUUGAAGAAAAAUGGAAUGGAAAAUCUUUCCCGCUUGGAAUUCACCAUUACCCUGUGCUCCACACUUUCAUACUUGUCAUUGCUCCAAACCUGCUUAAUAAAAGCCCUUAAAAAUGGUCACAAAAGUAGGCAAGUAGCUCUAUAAAUUUCCUGUCCAUCUAUAAAGAAACACAAAAACAAUAUCUCCAGCAAUCUUAUAUUAGUGAUUUAGUUCAUUAUUCCUGUGUGCAUAAUAUUUGCAAUUUAUGCCGGUGACUUUGGACUCAGACUUUACAGAGUUAGGCAUAAUACCUGAAUUAUAUCUCCGACAUUGAUGAUAUACGCGUUAGGAGUAGGUUUCACCCGAAUCCACUCUCCAUCAGUUUUUGGCUUCACUUCAAGUCCUCCAACAUCAUCCUGAUACAGAACGGUCAGAGCACCAGCGUCCUUGUGUCGACCAACACCAAGCGCCAGGUCAGGGCUAGGGCAGGGAGGAUAGUAAUUGAGCCUAAUGAAGCUGGUUGAGUCCUCGAAACAUUUAUCGAACCUGUCUGCUGCCAGACCUAAGCUCAAGGCUAUAAGCCCCAUUAAUUUGAAAGAGAGCUUUUUUACCUCUUUAGCAUAUUCUUCACACAGCUCCCUGGUAACAAAUAUAUUAGCCACAAAUUUCAACA